AUAUGCUUGUUUCAAGGACUAAGCCAUGCAAGCUGAGAGCACUAUCCAGAUUGGGAAUCUGCAGACGGCUCAUUAAAUCAGUGCUAAUGUACCCGCUCAAGUGGGAUUUCGGUCCUGCCAAUGGCAUAACUUCACCAACUGUGUAGCUAAUACAUGUAUGAGCAGUCUCGCUUUACCUCAGUCACGAUGGGGGUAACCCUUGAGUGAUGAAGUGGGAUGCCAAUGAUUGGGACAAAAACCAGCCCUUGUCACCAAGGAGCUGCCUGUUGACCCAGAUCAUCCGGUCGUAGCGCACAGUCUCUGACUGGCGCAUCGGCGGUCCAAGCACUGACCUAUCAGCUUCUUUGUAGUGUAGUGGACUACAAAGGCUGUCACGGGUAACGGAGAAUAAGGGUUCGAUUCCGGAGAGGGAGCCUGAGAAACGGCUACCACUUCUAUGGAAGGCAGCAGGCGCGCGAAUUGCCCACUCUCGCCGAGAGGAGGCAGCGACAAGAGAUAACAUCUCCUUUCACCUCAGGUGAGUGGAGUUUGUAAUGGAUGUUACACAAACCAUUCAAUGAGUAUCGAUUGGAGGGCAAGUCUGGUGCCAGCAGCCGCGGUAAUUCCAGCUCCAUUGGUGUAUACCAAUGCUGUUGCUGUUAAAAAGCUCGUAGUUGGAUUCAGGGCGCCGGUUGUGGACGGCACGCGGCUCGCCGCUGUGUUGUCUGCAGUAUGCCGGUGCCCUUUUGUCGUGGAUGAGGCUUGCUAACGUCCCAUUAAUUUGGGGUGUAAGCAUCACGUGGGAAUGCCACAAAGGCCCAUCCACGCACGCUACUGUGAACAAAACAGCGUGUUUCAAGCAGUCGUUACGACUUGCAUGACUAAGCAUGGCAUAGCAAGGCAUCGUCCUCUCUCGAUGUCCUUUGCUGGUUUUGACACGGGGGUAGGGAAGUUCAGGAUUGGCCAACUCAGUGGGCUCUCGCUUCGGCGAUCUCGCUGAGACCAAAACCUUUGGUGUCAAUGGUGGCUGGCGGGGAAAUACGUAUUCUCAAACGAGCGGUGAAAUGCUUAGACUUUGGGGGGACGAACCUCCGCGAAGGCAUUUUUCAAGCAUGCCUCCAUCAAUCAAGAACGAAAGUGCUGGGAGCAAAGAUGAUCAGAUACCGUCGUAGUCAGUACUGUAAACGAUGCCAGCUCGGGAUUGGGAAAACUCAAUCAAAUGACUUCCCCUGCACCGCUCCCAAACGAGAAAUCCAAGCUUUCGGGUUCAGGGGGAAGUACAGUCGCAAGGCUGAAACUUAAAAAUUGACGGAAUGGCACCACAAGGCGUGGAAUAUGCGGCUUAAUUUGACUCAACACGGGAAAUGUUACCAGGUCAGGACAUUGCGAGGAUUGACAGAUUGAGAGCUCUUUCAUGAUUCAUUGGAUGGUGGUGCAUGGCCGCUCCUGGUUGGUGGAGUGAUUUGUCUGGUUGAUUCCGUUAACGAACGAGAUCUCUGCCACCUAUCUAGGUCGAAACCUCGCUGUAGGAUCCAGGCCUCCUUCGGGUAGGACUGGUCUGAG
rnacentral:rRNA from 1 species